rnacentral:rRNA from 1 species
CAGUAGCGUAUAUUAAAGUUGUUGCAGUUAAAAAGCUCGUAGUUGGAUUUCUGAUAGUAGCGUUGGGCCGCCGGUCAGCCGGUGUGAGUGCCUGUUCGCUCCUUUCAUCCUUCUAGAGAACGGUUCUCUCCUUCAUUGGCAGUGGGAUCGCAAUCUAGAUCUUUUACUUUGAAAAAAUUAGAGUAGUUUAAAGCAGGCUUGUGCUAUGAAUACAUUAGCAUGGAAUAAUAAUUUAGGACUUUAGUUCUAUUUUGUUGGUUUCUAGAACUGAAGUAAUGAUUGAUAGGGAUAGUUGGGGUGGCUAGUAUUCAGCGGCCAGAGGUGAAAUUCUUGGAUUUGUUAAAGACGGACUACUGCGAAAAGCAUUUGCCAAGGAUGUUUUUCAUUGACAAGAACGAAAGUUAGGGGAUCGAAGAUGAUUAGAUACCG